rnacentral:rRNA from 1 species
ACAUCCAGAGAAUUUAGCAGAGAUGCUUUAGUGCCUUCGGGAACUCUGAGACAGGUGCUGCAUGGCUGUCGUCAGCUCGUGUUGUGAAAUGUUGGGUUAAGUCCCGNAACGAGCGCAACCCUUAUCCUUUGUUGCCAGCACGUAAUGGUGGGAACUCAAAGGAGACUGCCGGUGAUAAACCGGAGGAAGGUGGGGAUGACGUCAAGUCAUCAUGGCCCUUACGAGUAGGGCUACACACGUGCUACAAUGGCGCAUCAAAGAGAAGCGACCUCGCGAGAGCAAGCGGACCUCAUAAAGUGCGUCGUAGUCCGGAUUGGAGUCUGCAACUCGACUCCAUGAAGUCGGAAUCGCUAGUAAUCGUAAAUCAGAAUGUUACGGUGAAUACGUUCCCGGGCCUUGUACACACCGCCCGUCACACCAUGGGAGUGGGUUGCAAAAGAAGUAGAUAGCUUAACCUUCGGGAGGGCGUUUACCACUUUGUGAUUCAUGACUGGGGUGAAGUCGUAACAAGGUAGGCGUAGUGCU